GACGAACGCUGGCGGCGUGCCUAAUACAUGCAAGUCGAACGCUUCUUUCCUCCCGAGUGCUUGCACUCAAUUGGAAAGAGGAGUGGCGGACGGGUGAGUAACACGUGGGUAACCUACCCAUCAGAGGGGGAUAACACUUGGAAACAGGUGCUAAUACCGCAUAACAGUUUAUGCCGCAUGGCAUAAGAGUGAAAGGCGCUUUCGGGUGUCGCUGAUGGAUGGACCCGCGGUGCAUUAGCUAGUUGGUGAGGUAACGGCUCACCAAGGCCACGAUGCAUAGCCGACCUGAGAGGGUGAUCGGCCACACUGGGACUGAGACACGGCCCAGACUCCUACGGGAGGCAGCAGUAGGGAAUCUUCGGCAAUGGACGAAAGUCUGACCGAGCAACGCCGCGUGAGUGAAGAAGGUUUUCGGAUCGUAAAACUCUGUUGUUAGAGAAGAACAAGGAUGUUAGUAACUGAACGUCCCCUGACGGUAUCUAACCAGAAAGCCACGGCUAACUACGUG
rnacentral:rRNA from 1 species